UACAGAGGAGCCAAGCGUUGUCCGGAUUGACUGGGCGUAAAGCGCACGCAGGCGGACGCGCGCGUGGGGUGUGAAAUCUGGCCGCGUUAACGGCCAGGCGCCAUCCCAUACGGCGCGUCUGGAGCAAUGCAGAGGUCGGUGGAAUUGCCGGUGUAGUGGUGAAAUGCGUAGAGAUCGGCAGGAACACCCAGGGGGAAACCAGCCGACUGGG
rnacentral:rRNA from 1 species